rnacentral:rRNA from 1 species
UACGUAGGGUGCAAGCGUUAAUCGGAAUUACUGGGCGUAAAGGGCUCGUAGGCGGCCAACUAAGUCGGACGUGAAAUCCCUCGGCUCAACCGGGGAACUGCGUCCGAUACUGGAUGGCUCGAGUUCGGGAGAGGGAUGCGGAAUUCCAGGUGUAGCGGUGAAAUGCGUAGAUAUCUGGAGGAACACCGGUGGCGAAGGCGGCAUCCUGGACCGACACUGACGCUGAGGAGCGAAAGCCAGGGGAGCAAACGGG